CUGAUUGGAUGCGAGGGCUUCACCGCCUAUCAAAUCCGGCCAAACUCCGAAUGCUAGAACAUGAAUACAGGGAGUGAGCCAGCGGGUGCUAAGGUCCGUUGACGAAAGAGGGAGAACUCAGACCAUCAGCUAAGGUCCCCAAUUAUAUGCUAAGUUGGAAUAAAAACGGGGUGGGACUGCUAAGACAGCUAGGAUGUUGGCUUGGAAGCAGCCAUUCAUUUAAAGAGUGCGUAACAGCUCACUAGUCGAGCGGUCCUGCAUGGAUAAUACGCGGGCAUAAGCAUAUAACCGAAGCUAUGGGAUUGUAGAUGAUACAAUCGGUAGGAGAGCAUUCCAUUCAGCAUAGAAGCAGUACCGUGAGGUAUUGUGGAGCGGAUGGAAAAGCAAAUGUAGGCAUAAGUAACGAUAAUGCGGGUGAGAACCCCGCACGCCGAAAGAUCAAGGAUUCCCCGGCAAUGUCAAUCAUCCGGGGGUAAGUCGGAUCCUAAGGGUAAGCCGAGUGGCGAUCCCGAUGGUAAACAGGUUAAUAUUCCUGUACUGAUCAUAACUGCGAUGCAGCGACGCAGAGGUGACACUGCUGCGUACUGACGGAAUAGUACGUUGAAACCCGUAUUCUUUGAUACCGGUAGUGAAGCACGCCGGUAGAGAUGAAAGGUGAUAGUACCGCAAUGCUUCGGUUGCGCGGAUAAUGCAGGUAAGCUGACUGCCAAGAAAACCUGCUAAGCUUCAGGUAAUGAUCAUCCGUACUGUAAACGGACACACGUGAUCAGGUAGAAGAUACUAAGGCGCUCGAGAGAUUCAUGGUUAAGGAACUAGGCAAAAUGGUCCUGUAACUUCGGGAUAAAGGACGCUCUUUUACAAGAGCCGCAGAUAAUAGGCCCAGGCGACUGUUUACCAAAAACACAUGGCUAUGCUAAUUCGCAAGAAGAUGUAUAUGGCCUGACACCUGCCCGGUGCCGGAAGGUUAAGAGGAGGGGUUAGAGAGAUCGACGCUCCUAAUUGAAGCCCCGGUAAACGGCGGCCGUAACUAUAACGGUCCUAAGGUAGCGAAAUUCCUUGUCGGGUAAGUUCCGACCUGCACGAAUGGUGUAACGAUCUGGGUACUGUCUCAACCAUGAGCUCGGUGAAAUUGUAGUUCCGGUGAAGAUGCCGGAUACCCGCAACGGGACGGAAAGACCCCGUGAACCUUUACUGCAGCUUUGCAUUGAUUUUGGGUAACAGAUGUGUAGGAUAGGUCGGAGGCUUUGAUGCUGCGUCGUCAGGCGUAGAGUAGCCGUCGUUGAAAUACGACCCUUUUGUUAUCUGAGGUCUAACCCGUUAGGGAGACAUUGCAUGGUGGGUAGUUUGACUGGGGUGGUCGCCUCCAAAAGUGUAACGGAGGCUUCUCAAGGUACCCUCAAGGCGUUUGGUAACCGUCUGCAGAGUGCAAUGGCAUAAGGGCGCUUGACUGUGAG
rnacentral:rRNA from 1 species